rnacentral:rRNA from 1 species
UACGUAGGGGGCAAGCGUUGUCCGGAUUUAUUGGGCGUAAAGAGCGUGUAGGCGGUUUGGUAGGUCCGCUGUGAAAACUCGAGGCUCAACCUCGAGACGCCGGUGGAAACCAUCAGGCUAGAGUCCGGAAGAGGAGAGUGGAAUUCCUGGUGUAGCGGUGAAAUGCGCAGAUAUCAGGAAGAACACCCGUGGCUAAGGCGGCUCUCUAGUACGGUACUGACGCUGAGACGCGAAAGCGUGGGAGCAACAGG